CCCUUAGAUGUUCUGGGCCGCACGCGUGCUACACUGAGUGGAUCAGCGGGUCAGGUUGCGCGAAAGUGUUUCCUAAUCUUUAAAUCCGCUCGUGAUGGGGAUUGACGGUUGCAAUUUUCCGUCAUGAACGAGGAAUACCUUGUAAGCGCGGGUCAUCAUCCCGCGCUGAAUACGUCCCUGCCCUUUGUACAUACCGCCCGUCGCUCCUACCGAUUGAGUGGUCCGGUGAGGCUUUGGGAUCUGAGCGGAAAGAGCGUUUCGCUGUUUCUGCCCGGAAAACUCAGUCGAACCUUAUCAUUUAGAGGAAGGAGAAGUCGUAACA
rnacentral:rRNA from 1 species